GGGGCGUGGAAAGAGCCUGAUGAGCAUCUGCUUCCAACCCCUUCCACUAGAACAGGUGGCUCCAGGCCCCAUCCCACCUGGCCUUGAACACUUCCAGGGAUGGGGUAUCCGCAGCUUCUCUGGGCAACCUGUGACAGUGCUUCGCCACCCUGAGGAUAAAGAACAUCCUAAUAGCUAAUCUAAACCUUCGCUCUUUCAAUCUGAACCGGUUCCUACGUGUUCUCUAUCGCUCCAUGCUCUGCCAUAUAGUCUUUCCUCACAGCAGAGCCGCUCCACCCCUCCGGACUCACUCCAGCAGCUCCAUGUCCUUCCUGUGCCGGUUCCCCAGAGCUGGAGGCAGCUCUGCCGCUGAGGGCUCACCUGAGUGGGGCGGAAUCCCCCCUUCCCCCCAGGACACGCCUGCAUUUCUGGGCUGCAUGCACUGAUGGCCAGCUCACGUCCAGCCUCUCAUCCAGUGCUCUGUUCUGGAAGAUGCACAGUCUGAGGCAAGUGCCAGGUUUUUUUGUAAAGUGUUACCGGGCCUCAAAUGCAGCUUGUUACUGAAUUUCCUACUCUAUGACUAUAACCGUUAAGUGGUAAUAAAAAUACAGAUGUUGUGUUACAGCUUUACCAGAUAAUGCAGAACAACAGUUCUAUCACUCAGUACUUUGCAAUACCAAUAUGCAGUUCCUUUUCAAAUAGAGCAAAUGAAGUCCACCAGCAUAAAAGUGGAGAUUUUUUUAGUCUAAGGAACUGUGACAACCAUUGCAUAUUAGGAGUUUUAGACCCUUUAUUUUACCAUAACUAAUGUGAAAACACAAUUUUGCCUCUG